UUUAGUAGAUUUACCAUGCCGUAUAUGCUGGAAUAUGAUCUGAUAUACUUACCCUGGGCUUUGGAUUUCUGAGAAGUCUUUUCUGUUAGCAGUUACACCAACAUUCACAGAGAGAAUGGGAAGACCCGGAUAUGGUCCUUCUGCAAGGACGUUGCCAAGCACGUUCCAGAGAGUGAGAUGGGGAGAGGUCAAUGCACAAGAUUGCCUUGUCCCAUUCUGGAAAGAAGAGAACAACAAAAGCGGGAAAAUAAUCAUCAGGCAUCUGUGACCUGAACUGGAGAAGAACCAUUCAGUCUAUCUAGAAAUCCAUAAAUUCCCAGAAGAGUAGAUUCUCCAAAGCCUCAGGAAUAGCAGAUUGAUGGAGGAGAAAUAAGACGAGCUCUUCAACGUCUCAGGAACAGAGCGCAGUAAGGAAAAGGCUGAAACUCUGAGUUACGAUGUGAAGGACCAACCUUCAGAUGUUGAGGAAGGGAAACUACCCUGGGGGAUGGCCAUUUCCUGUGAUUGCAGGUGACUUUCAGAGUGAGUGUUUGCACACAUGUUGGAACUAGAAGGUUCUUCGGGUUCAGCCUCCACU